GCAAACAAGAAAAAAAUUAUGGCAAAAAUUAUAAAGUUUAUUUAUGUUAUGAUUAUUUUCCUUUUCAUGCCUAUCGUAAUUGGUAGAAUUUGUUUUUGUGAACAUCAUGAAGAUUGCCUUGAUAGUGAGUGUCUGGAAUAUAAUGAACAUGCAAUGUGCAAAAGUGGUGUUUGCCGGUGCGUGCCAUGGUAGUUGUUAAGUUUAAAUAUACUCACUGUAAUUAUAUGAUAAUUAGUAUAAUUGUCUUUGCAGUUAUAAUGUUGAUACUUUUAUAGUAUUUCUUUCAUGCAUCAAUAUUUGUUUGUCAGAACUUCAAAUUUAUUCAAUCCACUAAAAGUGUAUAUACUAUUUAUUA